ACUCAAAGGAAUUGACGGGGGCCCGCACAAGCGGUGGAGCAUGUGGUUUAAUUCGAGGCAACGCGAAGAACCUUACCCAGGCUUGACAUCCUCUGACAGCCCAUGAAAGUGGGUUUCCCCUUCGGGGGCAGGGAGACAGGUGUUGCAUGGCUGUCGUCAGCUCGUGUCGUGAGAUGUUGGGUUAAGUCCCGCAACGAGCGCAACCCUUGUUCGUAGUUACCAGCGGUUCGGCCGGGCACUCUACGAAGACUGCCGGUGAUAAGCCGGAGGAAGGUGGGGAUGACGUCAAGUCAUCACGGCCCUUACGCCUGGGGCGACACACGUGCUACAAUGGCCGGUACAAAGGGUUGCAAAACCGCGAGGUCGAGCCAAUCCCAAAAAGCCGGUCUCAGUUCGGAUUGGAGUCUGCAACUCGACUCCAUGAAGUCGGAAUCGCUAGUAAUCGUGGAUCAGCCAUGCCACGGUGAAUACGUUCCCGGGCCUUGUACACACCGCCCGU
rnacentral:rRNA from 1 species